UAUCAAGGACGACUGCUGUCUUCGCUUGGACGUUUAUAUGUACAGGCAGCAUGUCGCCACUUGCAACGUGAUCCAGCUCUAAAUUAUGUCGUUGCGUUAAAAUAAUUAUUACUUUUCUCAGUGAUGGUUCGCCAGUUAACAAAUUACUCGACUGAUACUUAUCGGCAUCUGGGGCGCUCUUACGCUUUGCGGCUGCCUGGGAUACGGCUCAUGAGCGCAGAGGCUUGUCGCGUGCACACCUGCUGUGGCGCUCCAUCUCAAGGAGAGCAGCGCGAGAGCCCCGCGUGCUCAACCUGACCUCAGCACGACUGGAUUCUGAUGUCUGUAUUAACAUCUGUGGGAGACAGCAGUCAAUCCUCAUGAACCUAGCCCUGUCUGCUUUGAUUUUCUCCUGUUCAGUCCUACUUGGGCACGUUCACGGGCGCCUGCUCCACGUAGAAGAGGAAGGACGAGCAGGCACUCUGCAGAAUCCUCUCAUUAAGAUGACAGGCCCAACCAUGGCAACAAUUAACUCCAUUCAGACACAAUUCAUCCCUCUUUUCAGGGUGUAAAGAAGAGAUGAGAGGAGACGUGCAGGUCAGACUUAGCUGAGUGUUAGCCUCACAGAUAAUCUGAGGUACUGACGGUACGAAUGAAACUGAUGGAGGUCUGUCUGCAGCAUACCCAACAGGAUAUCCCAUUUCUGGGAUGAUCUGGCCAUGAGGUGCACUGGGACUUCCUGGUGGUCUGUUCAACUUAUGUGCUGUCAAAACAAAUUUGAUAUGAAAUAAUUAUAGAUUUAAAGAUUUGUCCCAUACAGUACGGGUCAAGUUUAUCAAAUAAAAUUACAAAAUAAAUUUA